rnacentral:ncRNA from 25 species
ACAUUUUUAAUGGGGUGCGGUUCCGUAUCAUUUGAUGGUACGGAACAAAAGCUGAGAUUAUACCCAAUCCUACCUUGGUAGGAGGAACCUGAUCCAGGUAAUGCUGGCGUAGGGAGUAAUUUUUUCAAAAUA